GUGAAUCAUCGAAUUUUUGAACGCAAAUUGCACUCUCUGCUAAUAGGAUGCGUGUUUGAGGGUCAGCCUAAAAAAAAUCGUCAUAGUUGCUGUUACGCGGUAACAUUCGUCGGAAAUUGGGUCAGCUUAAACCUUUGGGUUUAAGCGGCUUAAAAUCUUCGUUACGAUUCCAUGAACGUCUCUAAGAUGUUAUUUUCUU
rnacentral:misc_RNA from 1 species